UAACUCACGUGGCGGGGGGAAAAACAUGAUCACAAAGGUGGUUUUUCCUCAGGGUGAAACAUUCGUUAUACUUUGGGUAGGCUGAACCCUGAAAUCCUAAAUGUGGGAAACUUGGCUGCAUAAUUUGUGGUGUAGGGGCAGCAUCAGUGCUCUUUUUUC